UACGUAGGGUGCAAGCGUUGUCCGGAAUUAUUGGGCGUAAAGAGCUCGUAGGCGGUUUGUCGCGUCUGCUGUGAAAACCCGAGGCUCAACCUCGGGCCUGCAGUGGGUACGGGCAGACUAGAGUGCGGUAGGGGAGAUUGGAAUUCCUGGUGUAGCGGUGGAAUGCGCAGAUAUCAGGAGGAACACCGGUGGCGAAGGCGGCUCUCUGGGCCUUACCUGACGCUGAGGAGCGAAAGCGUGGGUAGCGAACAGG
rnacentral:rRNA from 1 species